AACCGCUCCAAUUCGGGCCCUCAUCCGAGGACUCGUCGGGGUGACCCGAAAUGACCCGGAGAAGCCGUAGGGAGGUCCGGGGAGAGUUGUCUCUUCUCUAUAAGCGUUCGAGUUCCCUGGAAGCCUCUAGGAGGGAGAUAGGGUUUGGAACGCGAAGAGCACCGCACUUACGGCGGUGUCCGGAUCUUCCCCUCGGACCUUGAAAAUCCGGGCGAGGGCCACGAGGAACACCGCGCCGGCUCGUACCCAUAUCCGCAGCAGGUCUCCAAGGUGAAUAGCCUCUAGUCGAUAGAAUAAUGUAGGUAAGGGAAGUCGGCAAACCCGAUCUGUAACUUCGGGAUAAGGAUUGGCUCUGAGGAUCGUGGCGCGCCGGGCUUGGUCGGGAAGUGGAGCGGUGCCAACGUGCCGGGCCUGGGCGAGGUGAAGGGCGCUUGUCGUCUGGACCCUAGCUCGGUCCCGUGCCUUGGCCACCCACGGACCUUCCUUGCUGCGAGCCUCCCGGCUGUCUAGUUUCCGGCCCAGCCGGAGUACGGGCCGGAAGGCUCUUCGGCCGCCAUAGAACGAUCAACUUAGAACUGGCACGGACCAGGGGAAUCCGACUGUCUAAUUAAAACAAAGUAUUGCGAGGGC
rnacentral:rRNA from 1 species